rnacentral:rRNA from 1 species
AGUGAACGCUGGCGGUAGGCCUAACACAUGCAAGUCGAACGGCAGCACAGUAAGAGCUUGCUCUUACGGGUGGCGAGUGGCGGACGGGUGAGGAAUACAUCGGAAUCUACUUUUUCGUGGGGGAUAACGUAGGGAAACUUACGCUAAUACCGCAUACGACCUACGGGUGAAAGCAGGGGAUCUUCGGACCUUGCGCGAUUGAAUGAGCCGAUGUCGGAUUAGCUAGUUGGCGGGGUAAAGGCCCACCAAGGCGACGAUCCGUAGCUGGUCUGAGAGGAUGAUCAGGCACACUGGAAAUGAGGCAACGUCCAAGAUCCUAAGGGAGGGAGCAGUGGGGAAUAUUGGACAAAUGGGGGAAGCCUUAUCCAGCCAUACCGGGUGGGGGAAAGAGGCCUUCCGGUUUUAAAGGCCUCUUUGUGGGAAAAAAAAGCCAGCAGUUAAAACCCCGCUUGUCUGGCGGUUACCAAAGGAUAAGGAACGGCCAACCUUGUG